rnacentral:misc_RNA from 1 species
UCGAGUUUACAACUCCCAAACCCCUGUGAACAUACCUAUUCGUUGCCUCGGCGGGAGGCCCCGGGGGGUAGCCGGCGUCCGCGCCGGCCGCCCUCCCGGACCCCAUGGCUGCCCGCCGGAGGACCAAUAAACUCUUGUUUUACUUAUAUCUUACUUCUGAGUAACUGGCGAAAGCCGAAAAUAAAUCA